rnacentral:rRNA from 1 species
CAACCUGCCGUCUACUCUUGGACAGCCUUCUGAAAGGAAGAUUAAUACAAGAUGGCAUCAUGAGUCCGCAUGUUCACAUGAUUAAAGGUAUUCCGGUAGACGAUGGGGAUGCGUUCCAUUAGAUAGUAGGCGGGGUAACGGCCCACCUAGUCUUCGAUGGAUAGGGGUUCUGAGAGGAAGGUCCCCCACAUUGGAACUGAGACACGGUCCAAACUCCUACGGGAGGCAGCAGUGAGGAAUAUUGGUCAAUGGGCGAGAGCCUGAACCAGCCAAGUAGCGUGAAGGAUGACUGCCCUAUGGGUUGUAAACUUCUUUUAUAAAGGAAUAAAGUCGGGUAUGGAUACCCGUUUGCAUGUACUUUAUGAAUAAGGAUCGGCUAACUCCGUGCCAGCAGCCGCGGUAAUACGGAGGAUCCGAGCGUUAUCCGGAUUUAUUGGGUUUAAAGGGAGCGUAGAUGGAUGUUUAAGUCAGUUGUGAAAGUUUGCGGCUCAACCGUAAAAUUGCAGUUGAUACUGGAUAUCUUGAGCGCAGUUGAGGCAGGCGGAAUUCGUGGUGUAGCGGUGAAAUGCUUAGAUAUCACGAAGAACUCCGAUUG